CCUACGGGAGGCAGCAGUGGGGAAUAUUGCACAAUGGGGGAAACCCUGAUGCAGCGACGCCGCGUGAGGGAAGACGGGUUUCGGAUUGUAAAGCUCUAUCCGUAGGGAAGAAAAUUACGGUAACUGAAUAAGAAGCCCACGCCAAAUACGUGCCAGGAGCCGCCGGAAAACCGAGGGGGGAAGCUGUAGCCGGAUUUAAUGGGUGUAAAGGGAGCGGAGGCGGGAAGGCAAGUCAGAUGUGAAAGGUAAGGGCUCAACCUGUAGACUGCUUUUGAAACUGGUCUGCUGGAGUGACGUAGAGGUUGGCGGAAUUCCGAGUGUAGCGGUGAAAUGCGUAGAUAUUCGGAGGAACACCAGUGGCGAAGGCGGCUUACUGGACUAUAACUGACGUUGAGGCUCGAAAGUGUGGGGAGCAAACAGGAUUAGAUACCCUUGUAGUC
rnacentral:rRNA from 1 species